rnacentral:rRNA from 1 species
CAAUAGCGUAUAUUUAAGUUGCUGCAGUUAAAAAGCUCGUAGUUGGAUUUCGGGUGGGAAUGGCCGGUCCGCCGUUUCGGUGUGCACUUGCUACGCCCACCUUGCUGCCGGGGACGUGCUCUUGAGUUCACGCUCGGGACACGGAGUCGGCGAGGUUACUUUGAGUAAAUUAGAGUGUUCAAAGCAGGCCUACGCUCUGAAUACAUUAGCAUGGAAUAACACGAUAGGACUCUGGCCUAUCUUGUUGGUCUGUAGGACCGGAGUAAUGAUUAAGAGGGACAGUCGGGGGCAUUCGUAUUUCAUUGUCAGAGGUGAAAUUCUUGGAUUUAUGAAAGACGAACUACUGCGAAAGCAUUUGCCAAGGAUGGUUUCGUUAA